ACCCGACUCAGUAUUCUUCCAAGAGGUGUGGAGUCAUAGAAAGACAUAGGUGCACGAAAAAGAGAAAGUAGUAACUGGGAAAAUAACGAUUUUGAUGAUUGAAGACCCAAAACAACUGUAAAGAUCGAUCUACAUAGCAAGAAAAGCAUUGAGAUAAUUCCUAUA